rnacentral:snRNA from 2 species
AUCUUUGCGCUUGGGGCAAUGACGCAGCUAAUGAGGUACUAACCGAGGCGCGUCUAUUGCUGGUUGAAAACUAUUUCCAAACCCCCUCUUAGGCCUUAAGCUUGGCUAUGGCCUUCGAGAAUUUCUGGAAGGGCUCCCUUCGGGGUAAAGCC